rnacentral:rRNA from 1 species
GACGAACGCUGGCGGCGUGCUUAACACAUGCAAGUCGAACGGAAAGGCCCAGCUUGCUGGGUGCUCGAGUGGCGAACGGGUGAGUAACACGUGGGUGAUCUGCCCCUAACUUCGGGAUAAGCUUGGGAAACUGGGUCUAAUACCGGAUAGAACAAUCGUUUAUGGUCGGUUGUGGAAAGUUUUUUCGGUUAGGGAUGAGCCCGCGGCCUAUCAGCUUGUUGGUGGGGUAAUGGCCUACCAAGGCGUCGACGGGUAGCCGGCCUGAGAGGGUGGACGGCCACAUGGGGACUGAGAUACGGCCCAGACUCCUACGGGAGGCAGCAGGGGGGAAUAUUGCACAAUGGGCGCAAGCCUGAUGCAGCGACGCCGCGUGGGGGAUGACGGCCUUCGGGUGGUAAACCUCUUUCGCCAGGGACGAAGCUUUGGUGACGGUACCUGUAUAAGAAGCACCGGCUAACUACGUG